rnacentral:tRNA from 1 species
UAAAAGAUAAGCUAAUCAAGCUAAUAGGUUCAUACCCUGCUGAUGAAAGUUUAAUCUUUCUCUUUUUA